UCAUCCUGAAUAGCCGGAACUGUGGGCAGUAAUACGGCCACGAACCGAGUGAGUCAGUGACUGAACCCCCACGCAUUGCAAAACAAAACCCCUUGAACAACUAGAAAGGAAUAAAACCCAAACCCCUCCUCUCCGGCUGCUGAUCCUCAAAACUUGAGCAGACGCACAAAUACUCUCUCUCUCUCUGCUCGUAAAAAUUGAUUUUAAUUAAUAGGAACUAAUAAGCUUUUCUUGAUUUUGUUUGUUUGUAAAUCGAUUGAAAAGAGAAAAAAGAAGGAAGCAUAGAGGAAGAAAAUGGAGGAAGAAGAGGCGGGACCACCGAAGAGAGAACUGUACGCACUGCUCCAAGUGUCACCGGAAGCCACCGAUGAAGAAAUCAGAAAGGCUUAUCGACACUGGGCUCAAGUUUAUCAUCCUGACAAGUACCAGGACUUUCAUAUGAAGCAAAUAGCCACAGUGAACUUUCAACGAAUAUGUGAAGCUUAUGAAAUAUUAUCGGAUGAGUAUAAAAGGCAAAUAUAUGACAUAUAUGGCAUGGAAGGUAUAACUUCUGGUCUGGAGCUUGGUCCGAAGCUCAAUAAAGUAGAAGAGUUGAAGGAAGAGCUUCAAAGGUUGCGAAAGAAGAAGGAAGAAGAGAAGAUGUUUGCGCAUUUUCGACCUUCUGGCACUAUACUCGCCCAUUUGUCUAUGCCACAGUUUCUGGACGGUGAUGGCAUUAUGCGAGGAAUGGCUAUGGCUAGCGAAGUUCAAUCUCAAUUAUCUAAACGUACUGCGAUUGCUAUGGGUGGGAAUUUGGAAGUUAAUGGAAAUUCUGGUGGUGGAGCUGCUUCGACUGUGCUCAGGCACCAGCUUUCUCCAGUUUCAUCCAUAGAAUUCAUAGCAUCAGCUGGUUUACGAGCACUUAUUGGUGUGCAAACAACACGUAACCUAUCUUCACACUCAACGGCUACAAUUGCCAUAGCAAAGUCUCUGAGGGAUGGCUCAAUUAAUCUUUCCAAUACCUGGACCCGCCAACUCUCUGAAACGGCAAAUGGAAAUAUACAGCUUUUAUUAGGUCCUGAGUCAUCUAUAGCAGUUGGAUGGCAAAAGAAGGAGGAAAAAAUGUCGGCUUCUGGAGAGCUGAAGAUUGGCACAAGUUCUUUUGCCGCAUCAGCACAUUAUACUUGUCGCUUUUCUUCAAAGUCUCAUGGUCGUAUUGCAGGUAGAUUUGGAAGCACUAUGUUAGAGGUUGAAGUUGGCGGGGGAAGGAAAUUGUCUAAUUUCAGCACAGUUCGAAUGCUAUAUACAAUUGGAAUUCAGGGCAUCUUUUGGAAGUUUGAAUUGCACCGUGGAGGACAAAAGUUGAUUAUUCCUAUGUUGCUUUCCAGGCAUUUGAAUCCAGUGUUUGCAAUUGGAGCAUUUGUAAUUCCAACGUCUCUUUACUUCCUACUCAAGAAAUUCGUAGUCAAAUCUUAUUACCUUCGAAGGGAAAAGCAGAAGACUUCAGAAAUUAAAGAGAGAUCUUCUGCCCAGGUUCGAGAGGCAAGGAUUGCGGCAGAAAAGGCACAACAAUUAUUACAAACUGUGGCCAAUAGGAAAAGAAGUAGGCAGUUAGAAACAAAUGGACUUGUAAUCACUAAAGCAGUGUAUGGAAAUAGUAAAGCUUUGAAGAAAGCAGAUAAAUCAAGAGAAGUAAACAACGAAUCAGCUUCAGAAGUCAUUGAUGUUACAAUACCUCUUAAUUUCCUCAUUAAUGAUUCUGGCCGACUGCAGUGCAGCUUCAUGAGGGUGUAAAGAAGUCGGGAAUUAUGGGCUUCUGCGAUCCUUGUCCAGGAGAACCUAAGCUUUUGCAUGUGGAGUACACUUAUGGUGGCCAAAUAUUUGAGGUGGAGGUUGAUGAUUAUGCAGCAUUGUUGAUACCCGAGAAUCCCAGAGCAUGAAUGUCUCUCACAGUAGUGUAAUUUAGAACCUGUUACUGCUCAAAUUUUGCUUCCUUUUACAUGCCUUCUGAAGUAACUUAAAAGACGAGCGGUUGACACAUACUCGUUACUUCAUGUUGUUUAAGUAGCAUGUUCAAUUAGAGCAUUUACGAGAAUAAUUAUUUUGUGGUGCAUUUCAUUUCUAAUAAAAGCCAGUUACACAUUUUUUUAA